UACGUAGGGACCAAGCGUUGUUCGGAUUUACUGGGCGUAAAGGGCGCGUAGGCGGCCAUUCAAGUCACUUGUGAAAUCUCCGAGCUUAACUCGGAACGGUCAAGUGAUACUGCUUUGCUAGAGUGCAGAAGGGGCAACCGGAAUUCUUGGUGUAGCGGUGAAAUGCGUAGAUAUCUGGAGGAACACCGGUGGCGAAGGCGGCAUUCUGGACUGCAACUGACACUGAAAGACGAAAGCCAGGGGAGCAAACGGG
rnacentral:rRNA from 1 species